AUAAUAUUCCCUCCGUCCGGAAAUACUUGUCGAAGGAAUGGAUGUAUCUAGACAUAUUUUAAUUUUAGAUACAUCAAUUUUUAUCCAUUUUCCCGACAAGUAAUUCCAGACGGAGGGAGUAUAUA
rfam:Triticum aestivum genome assembly, contig: Triticum_aestivum_CS42_TGACv1_scaffold_221435_3B